GGACUUUGAGCUCAAUGCCAUGACUGAGGAAGACCACGGGGUUUUCUCUCUUAGAGGGGAGGGCUCAGUAAACACUUAAGGAAGUUGCCGUGCACUGCAGCCUGCCGGAGACAUGAAGGAAUGUACGGGAGGAUAAUCGCAACAUCAUCAACCCAAUUCUCCAAGUAAUUUGCCAUGGGACAGGCACACCCCAUGUGUUUGGGAAGACAAUGGGAAGGUUCUGUUUUCUGCUCCAAGACUGAUUCAACCAGUUGGAUCUGGAAGGGGAUAAAGGGCUGUGUGGCUGCUUGAUUUUCAUUGUCUAGUGGCAGCCAAAAUUGGAAAAGAGAGAAGUGCAGACUUUAAAGACAAGCAGCGACAGCUCAUCAGCAGUCUAACAACACGACAGAUGACAGGCCCAGAGGCACACCCAGGGCCGCCAGCCCAUCACCCUGUGCAGGAUGUCAAAGAGCAGCUGCAGCAAAGGAAGAAGAUCAUCCAGACUUAAAUGUUUGGGCCUUGCUAAGACCAUAGAGUCUUUGUGCUUUGGAAACAGUCCUCCAUACAAAGACCCCUUCCUAGAAAAGAGUGGAAAGAAACCAAGGUGGAAUGGAUACAACAGAAAGGAGACCAUGCUAAUAUUCUUGUGCAAUGCUUCCUGGGCAGAAAUUAUGUCAUAAAGGAUGUUCCAUUCUGCAAAGCUAUGUGUCUCUCUGUGGUUUGCCUCAGAGGAGGGGCCUUUCAUAGCUGUAGUGAGUAAGGGGGCCCUUGCUGAUGUUCAUCAGAUAUGCCAAGGCACAGGAAGAAAGCAUUGAGGUCACAGGGCAGCUCAGGUCCGCCUGUGGU
rnacentral:lncRNA from 1 species